rnacentral:tRNA from 1 species
GGCCUGUGGCUCAGUGGUAGAGCACUUGCCUAGCAUGUGUGAGGCCCUGGGUUCGAUCCUCAGCACCA